AUAUAUAAACACUGAUUUAAAACUGCGUUGCGUUCGUUAGGAAAACUGACAAUUUAUUAUAUGUUUAUUUAAGAAUUUAUUUGUUCAUAUUGUGUUAAUACAUUGCGUGUUGUUAGAAUACUCGUGCUAAUUUGCCAAAGCCGGGACGUUCGCGUGCGAAUCCGAAAAAAAGGACUUUACAGUUUCGCGAGGUGCUUCCAUUGUUUCCAAAACACCUCAUACUAUGAAGUCCGCGUACCUCACGUGCGUGUUGGCGCUGAUUCUUGCACUGCGCACGGGUGUCUCGAGGGGCCAGUGUGAGAAGUGUGAUUGCGAUGGACCUCGGGUAAAAUGCAGUGGAAAACAACUGUCGACCAUACCCCUUUCCCUACCCAACGCUACCGUCUUAAAUUUAUCGAACAACACGCUUGCAUCCCUACCCGACGGUGCAUUUGAAGGGUGGCAGAAACUAACGGAACUG